AGAGGAGUGCCUGAAAAAGGAUCACCUUGAUAGGGUGGGUUAUGUGUGCGGACCACCUCCUCUC
rnacentral:tRNA from 1 species